CCCAACUAUCCCUAUUAAUCAUUACGUCAAUCCUAGAAACCAACAAAAUAAGAUCAACGUCCUAUUUCAUUAUUCCAUGCUAAUGUAUUCAAGCGUGAGCCUGCUUUAAACACUCUAAUUUUUUCAAAGUAACAGUCCUGAUUUCCCACCACACCAAGUAAAUGGCAUGAUAGUUCGUCAGAAGGAAGGAAUCAGUAACACCAGUACAUACCCGAAAGCACGACCAACGUACUGAUCCCGAAAUUCAACUACGAGCUUUUUAACUGCAACAACUUUAAUAUACGCUAUUGGAGCUGGAAUUACCGCGGCUGCUGGCACCAGACUUGCCCUCCAA
rnacentral:misc_RNA from 2 species